rnacentral:misc_RNA from 1 species
UCCCACUCAUCGUGGGCAGUUUCUCCAGAGUGCCCCCUUUCGGGAUGGCAACAGGAGAUGGGGGUUGCGCUCGUUGCGGGACUUAACCCAACAUUUCACAACACGAGCUGACGACAGCCAUGCACCACCUGUGUAGCACCCUCGAAGGCGACUCCGUUUCGGGAGCUUGCAGCUACAUGUCAAGCCCUGGUAAGGUUCUUCGCGUUGCAUCGAAUUAAGCCACAUGCUCCACCGCUUGUGCGGGCCCCCGCCAAUUCCUUUGAGUUUCAACCUUGCGGCCGUAGUCCCCAGGCGGUUCACUUAAUGCGUUAGCUGCGGCACCGAGGGGAACCCCCGACACCUAGUGAACAUAGUUUAGGGCCAAGACUAC